ACCCCGGUGAAAAUGCCCUUCAAAUCACUUAAUUGAUUCAAAGGAGUGGGCAUCAAGCACACCUACACAACGGUAGCUCACAACGCCUUGCCUAGCCACACCCCCACGGGAUACAGCAGUGAUAAAAAUUAAGCAAUAAACGAAAGUUUGACUAAGCCAUACUAAGCCAGGGCUGGUAAAUUUCGUGCCAGCCACCGCGGUCAUACGAUUAGCCCAAGUUAAUAGACACACGGCGUAAAACGUGUAUAAGAACUCCAAACCAAUAAAGUUAAAUCAGAAUUUUGCCGUAGAAAGCCCAAACUCUGACUAAAAUAAACUACGAAAGUGACUUUAACUUAUCCGACUACACGAUAGCUAAGACACAAACUGGGAUUAGAUACCCCACUAUGCUUAGCCCUAAACUAAAGUGACAACAUAACAAUGCCACUCGCCAGAGAACUACUAGCCACAGCUUAAAACUCAAAGGACUUGGCGGUGCUUUAUAUCCACCUAGAGGAGCCUGUUCUAUAAUCGAUAAACCCCGAUAAACCUCACCAACCCUUGCUAAUACAGCCUAUAUACCGCCAUCUUCAGCAAACCCCAAAAGGGGAUCACAGUAAGCAAAAACAUAAAACAUAAAAACGUUAGGUCAAGGUGUAGCCUAUGAGUUGGAAAGAAAUGGGCUACAUUUUCUAAUAAUAGAAUAUAAACGAAAAUUUUCGUGAAACCGAAAAUAGAAGGAGGAUUUAGCAGUAAAUUAAGAAUAGAGAGCUUAAUUGAAUUAGGCCAUGAAGCACGCACACACCGCCCGUCACCCUCCUCAAGUGCCAUAAUAUAAUAAUUAACCAUAUAAACAAUCGUAUUAACACGCGAGAGGAGACAAGUCGUAACAAGGUAAGCGUACUGGAAGGUGCGCUUGGACACAU
rnacentral:ncRNA from 1 species